GUGAAUGUGCGCUUGAUCACUUCAAACAUGGCGCCAGAGUCAGUAUUAUCAUCAGACGAUAAACCCUCGCUGCCAGACGGCGAGGGUUUUCUUUUGGG
rnacentral:sRNA from 1 species